rnacentral:rRNA from 1 species
CGCGGCCUAUCAGCUUGUUGGUGAGGUAACGGCUCACCAAGGCAUCGACGGGUAGCUGGUCUGAGAGGACGAUCAGCUACACUGGGACUGAGACACGGCCCAGACUCCUACGGGAGGCAGCAGGAGGGAAUAUUGCGCAAUGGGCGAAAGCCUGACGCAGCAACGCCGCGUGGGGGAUGAAGGCCCUCGGGUUGUAAACCCCUUUCAGCAGGGACGAAAAUGACGGUACCUGCAGAAGAAGGUCCGGCCAACUACGUGCCAGCAGCCGCGGUAAUACGUAGGGACCGAGCGUUGUCCGGAAUUAUUGGGCGUAAAGAGCUCGUAGGCGGUUCGGUAAGUCGGGUGUGAAAACUCAAGGCUCAACCUUGAGACGCCACUCGAUACUGCUGUGACUAGAGUCCGGUAGAGGAGUGUGGAAUUCCUGGUGUAGCGGUGAAAUGCGCAGAUAUCAGGAGGAACACCAGCGGCGAAGGCGGCACUCUGGGCCGGUACUGACGCUGAGGAGCGAAAGCAUGGGGAGCAAACAGGAUUAGAUACCCUGGUAGUCCAUGCCGUAAACGUUGGGCACUAGGUAUGGGGUCUUAUCAACGGAUUCCGUGCCGUAGCUAACGCAUUAAGUGCCCCGCCUGGGGAGUACGG